rnacentral:snRNA from 1 species
AUAUUUUUCGAAAGAAAAAAAAAUCUGUUCUUAUCAGUUUAAUAUCUGAUACGUCCCCUACCCGGGGACCAUAUAUUAAAUUGAUUUUUGGAACAGGGAGAUGGAAUAGGGGCUUGCUCCGUCCACUCCACGCAUCGGCCUGGUAUUGCAGUACCUCCAGGACCGGUGCACCCCCU